CACGUAGGGCGCAAGCGUUGUCCGGAAUUAUUGGGCGUAAAGAGCUCGUAGGCGGUCUGUUGCGUCCGCUGUGAAAACUCGGGGCUUAACCCCGAGCCUGCAGUGGAUACGGGCAGACUAGAGGUAGGUAGGGGAGAAUGGAAUUCCCGGUGUAGCGGUGAAAUGCGCAGAUAUCGGGAGGAACACCGGUGGCGAAGGCGGGUCUCUGGGCCGAAAUUGACGCUGAGGAGCGAAAGCGUGGGGAGCGAACAGG
rnacentral:rRNA from 1 species